GGCGGGGGCAAGCUUAUCAAUGGGGCCACCUGCUGAGUGCUCCUCACUCCCAGGCCCUAAGAAGGUCUGAGACUGGAGCCUCCCACCUGCCACCCUAACUGGGCUCUCCCCGAUCAGGGAGAUGAGCUCCUAGAAUGGGGCAGACCUGGCAGGAAAGGCCCCAAAUGGGCGGAUGCCUCCCUCGUGGAGCUUGGAACAGUCAUGGCUGGGGCAGACAGUAUUAGCGUGCAAGAAAAGCUCCGUGGCU
rnacentral:RNase_P_RNA from 2 species